UACGUAGGGAGCAAGCGUUGUCCGGAAUCAUUGGGCGUAAAGCGCGCGUAGGCGGCCCGGUAAGUCCGUUGUAAAAGUCGAAGGCUCAACCUUCGAAAGCCGAUGGAUACUGCCGGGCUAGAGUUCGGAAGAGGCGAGUGGAAUUCCUGGUGUAGCGGUGAAAUGCGCAGAUAUCAGGAGGAACACCGGUGGCGAAGGCGGGUCUCUGGGCCGAUACUGACGCUGAGGAGCGAAAGCGUGGGGAGCGAACAGG
rnacentral:rRNA from 1 species